GUGCUCACUUCAGCAGCACAUAUACUAAAAUUGGAACAAUACAGAGAUUAGCAUGGCCCUUGCACAAGAAUGACAUGCAAAUUUGUGAGGCGUUCCAUAUAUUC